rnacentral:rRNA from 1 species
UGGGGAAUCUUGGACAAUGGGGGAAACCCUGAUCCAGCGAUGCCGCGUGUGUGAAGAAGGCCUUAGGGUUGUAAAGCACUUUAAUGAGGGAGGAUUAGGAUGCGUUGAAUAGACGUGUCUGAGGACGUUACCUCAAGAAUAAGCACCGGCUAACUCUGUGCCAGCAGCCGCGGUAAUACAGAGGGUGCGAGCGUUAAUCGGAAUUAUUGGGCGUAAAGGGAGCGUAGGUGGUUAGUUAAGUUGGAUGUGAAAUCCCCGGGCUCAACCUGGGAACUGCAUUCAAAACUGACUGACUAGAGUAUGGUAGAGGGUGGUGGAAUUUCCUGUGUAGCGGUGAAAUGCGUAGAUAUAGGAAGGAACACCAGUGGCGAAGGCGACCACCUGGACUGAUACUGACACUGAGGUGCGAAAGCGUGGGGAGCAAACAGGAUUAGAUACCCGAGUAGUCCCUGAGCGGGCUGGCAAGGCGCAU